rnacentral:tRNA from 2 species
GCGCCCAUAGCUCAACUGGAUAGAGCAUCGCCCUUCUAAGGCGAGGGUUGCAGGUUCGAGUCCUGCUGGGCGUACCA